UUAAGCAUAUCAAUAAGCGGAGGAAAAGAAACUAACAAGGAUUCCCCUAGUAACUGCGAGUGAAGAGGGAAAAGCUCAAAUUUAAAAUCUGGCAGUUAUUUGCUGUCCGAGUUGUAAAUUGGAGAAGUGUUAUCCGCGCUGGCCUGUGCAUAAGUCUCUUGGAAAAGAGCAUCAUAGAGGGUGACAAUCCCGUCUUUGGCACAGACUACCAGGGCUUUUGUGAUGCGCUCUCAACGAGUCGAGUUGUUUGGGAAUGCAGCUCCAAAUGGGUGGUAAAUUCCAUCUAAAGCUAAAUAUUGGCGAGAGACCGAUAGCGCACAAGUACCGUGAGGGAAAGAUGAAAAGAACUUUGGAAAGAGAGUUAAACAGUACGUGAAAUUGUUGAAAGGGAAACGCUUGAAGUCAGUCAUGUCUCACUGAAAUCAACCUGGCACUUGUCUGGUGUACUUUCUGUUGGACAGGUCAGCAUCAGUUCUGAUUGCUGGAAAAAGGCCUUGGGAAUGUGACAUCUUUUCGAAGAUGUGUUAUAGCCCUUGGACCACAUACAGUGGUUGGGACUGAGGAACUCGAUGUGUGGUGUGCUCUGGGGUUUCGGUCCUGGAGUCACGCAUUCAAGGAUGCUGGCAUAAUGGCUUUAAUCGACCCGUCUUGAAACACGGACCAAGGAGUCUAACGUGCAUGCGAGUGU
rnacentral:rRNA from 2 species